UGGAGUAUAGCCAAGUGGAAAGGCAUCGGUUUUUGAUACCGACAUUCAAAGGUUCGAACCCUUUUACUCCAA
rnacentral:tRNA from 1 species